rnacentral:rRNA from 1 species
UACGGGGGAGCAAGCGUUGUUCGGAUUUACUGGGCGUAAAGGGCGCGUAGGCGGCCACCGCAAGUCGACUGUGAAAUCUCCGGGCUUAACCCGGAAAGGUCAACCGAUACUGCGGGGCUAGAGUGCAGAAGGGGCAACUGGAAUUCUCGGUGUAGCGGUGAAAUGCGUAGAUAUCGAGAGGAACACCUGCGGCGAAGGCGGGUUGCUGGGCUGACACUGACGCUGAAGUGCGAAAGCUAGGGGAGCGAACGGG